rnacentral:rRNA from 1 species
GGGUAACCUGCCCUGUACUCUGGGAUAAGCCUUGGAAACGAGGUCUAAUACCGGAUACAACCACGAAAUGCAUGUGUUGUGGUGGAAAGUUCCGGCGGUAUGGGAUGGACCCGCGGCCUAUCAGCUUGUUGGUGGGGUAAUGGGCUACCAAGGCGACGACGGGUAGCCGGCCUGAGAGGGUGACCGGCCACACUGGGACUGAGACACGGCCCAGACUCCUACGGGAGGCAGCAGUGGGGAAUAUUGCACAAUGGGCGAAAGCCUGAUGCACCGACGCCGCGUGAGGGAUGACGGCCUUCGGGUUGUAAACCUCUUUCAGCAGGGACGAAACGCAAGUGACGGUACCUGCAGAAAAAGCACCGGCUAACUACGUGCCACCAGCCGCGGUAAUACGUAUGGUGCGAGCGUUGUCCGGAAUUAUUGGGCGUAAAGAGCUCGUAGGCGGUUUGUCGCGUCGGCCGUGAAAACUUGGGGCUUAACUCCAAGCUUGCGGUCGAUACGGGCAGACUUG